AAAUCAGUUAUCGUUUAUUUGAUAGUACCUUACUACUUGGAUACCUGUGGUAAUUCUAGAGCUAAUACAUGCUAAAAACCCCGACUUCGGAAGGGGUGUAUUUAUUAGAUAAAAAACCAAUGCCCUUCGGGGCUCCUUGGUGAUUCAUAAUAACUUCUCAGAUCGCAUGGCCUUGCGCCGGCGACGGUUCAUUCAAAUUUCUGCCCUAUCAACUUUCGAUGGUAAGGUAUUGGCUUACCAUGGUGGCAACGGGUAACGGGGAAUUAGGGUUCGAUUCCGGAGAGUUAGCCUGAGAAACGGCUAACACAUCCAAGGAAGGCAGCAGGCGCGCAAAUUACCCAAUCCCGAUACGGGGAGGUAGUGACAAUAAAUACUGAUACAGGGCUCUUUUGGGUCUUGUAAUUGGAAUGAGUACAAUUUAAACCUCUUAACGAGGAACAAUUGGAGGGCAAGUCUGGUGCCAGCAGCCGCGGUAAUUCCAGCUCCAAUAGCGUAUAUUAAAGUUGUUGCAGUUAAAAAGCUCGUAGUUGAACCUUUGGCCUGGCUGGCAGGUCCGCCUCACCGCGUGCACUUGUCCGGCCGGGCCUUUUCUUCUGGAGAACCGCAUGCCCUUCACUGGGUGUGUUGGGGACCAGGACUUUUACUUUGAAAAAAUUAGAGUGUUCAAAGCAGGCCUUUGCUCGAAUAUUACAGCAUGGAAUAAUAGAAUAGGACGUGCGGUUCUAUUUUGUUGGUUUCUAGGACCGCCGUAAUGAUUAAUAGGGACAGUCGGGGGCAUCAGUAUUCAAUUGUCAGAGGUGAAAUUCUUGGAUUUAUUGAAGACUAACUACUGCGAAAGCAUUUGCCAAGGAUGUUUUCAUUAAUCAGUGAACGAAAGUUAGGGGAUCGAAGACGAUCAGAUACCGUCGUAGUCUUAACCAUAAACUAUGCCGACUAGGGAUCGGGCGGUGUUAUUAUUUUGACUCGCUCGGCACCUUACGAGAAAUCA
rnacentral:rRNA from 1 species